AGUGCCUGCAACAUGAGCUGGAAGCAGAGAGAGCUCUCAGGAGGCAGGAACAGGAAGACACAGCUCAACAGCUCCUGCGGGCAGAGCAGCAGCAUCAUGAAAGCCUCAGGCUUCAGGGAACUGCUCAGCAAGUGGAAAUAAAGAAGCUCCUGGAUGACCUGGCAAGUGAGCGCAAAAGGCACCGUGCAGAGAUGCAGGAGACGCUGGAGCAAUGGGAAAAAGAGAAA